rnacentral:rRNA from 1 species
GAUGAACGCUAGCGGCGGGCUUAAUACAUGCAAGUCGAGGGGCAGCAUGAUUGUAGCAAUACAAUUGAUGGCGACCGGCAAACGGGUGCGGAACACGUACACAACCUUCCAAUAAGUGGGGAAUAGCCCAGAGAAAUUUGGAUUAAUACCCCGUAACAUAACGAUGUGGCAUCACAUUGUUAUUAUAGAUUUUUCGCUUAUUGAUGGGUGUGCGGCUGAUUAGAUAGUUGGCGGGGUAACGGCCCACCAAGUCUACGAUCAGUAGCUGAUGUGAGAGCAUGAUCAGCCACACGGGCACUGAGACACGGGCCCGACUCCUACGGGAGGCAGCAGUAAGGAAUAUUGGACAAUGGACGCACGUCUGAUCCAGCCAUGCCGCGUGAAGGAUUAAGGUCCUCUGGAUUGUAAACUUCUUUUAUAAGGGACGAAAAAAGGCUUUUCUAAGUCGUCUGACGGUACCUUAUGAAUAAGCACCGGCUAACUCCGUGCCAGCAGCCGCCGUAACAC